rnacentral:rRNA from 1 species
AGUGGAUGGGGAGCAACCUAGUUGUGCGUGUGUAAAGGUAGUGCCAAGAAAAGCGAUGAUCAUGUUGAAAAUCAAUUCCCGGUACCCGAAACCGACACAGGUGGGCAAGUAGAGAAUACUAAGGGGCGCGAGGUAACUCUCUCCAAGGAACUCGGCAAAAUGACCCCGUAACUUAGGGAGAAGGGGUGCCACCGAGAGGUGGUCGCAGUGAAGAGGCCCAGGCGACUGUUUAGCAAAAACAUAGGUCUCUGCAAACUCGAAAGAGGAGGUAUAGGGGCUGACGCCUGCCCAGUGCCGGAAGGUUAAAGAAGUUGGUCAGUCUUAGGAUGAAGCUAGCGACUGAAGCCCCGGUGAACGGCGGCCGUAACUAUAACGGUCCUAAGGUAGCGAAAUUCCUUGUCGGGUAAGUUCCGACCCGCACGAAAGGCGUAACGAUCUGGGCGCUGUCUCGGAGAGAGGCUCGGCGAAAUAGGAUUGUCUGUGAAGAUACGGACUACCUGCAUUUGGACAGAAAGACCCUAUGAAGCUUUACUAUAGCUUGGAAUUGUGUUCGGGCUUCCUGUGCGCAGGAUAGGUGGGAGGCGUAGAAGGUAUUUUUGUGGGGAUACUGGAGCCAACGGUGAGAUACCACUCUCAGGAGGCUAGAAUUCUAACUUAAUUAAGGACAGUUUCAGGUGGGUAGUUUGACUGGGGCGGUCGCCUCCAAAAAGGUAACGGAGGCGUACAAAGGUUCCCUCAGACUGGUUGGAAAUCAGUCGAAGAGUGCAAAGGCAGAAGGGAGCUUGACUGCGAGAAGUACAGUUCGAGCAGGGUGGAAACACGGUCUUAGUGAUCCGACGGUGCUGUGUGGAAGGGCCGUCGCUCAACGGAUAAAAGUUACCCUAGGAUAACAGGCUGAUCUCCCCCAAGAGUUCACAUCGACGGGGAGGUUUGGCACCUCGAUGUCGGCUCAUCGCAACCUGGGGCGGAAGUACGUCCCAAGGGUUGGGCUGUUCGCCCAUUAAAGCGGUACGUGAGCUGGGUUCAGAACGUCGUGAGACAGUUCGGUCCAUAUCCGAUGUAGGCGUGAGAAUAUUGAGAGGAGCCUUCCUUAGUACGAGAGGACCGGGAAGGACGCACCGCUGGUGUACCUGUUAUGAUGCCAAUUGUAAACGCAGGGUAGCCAAGUGCGGAGAGGAUAACCGCUGAAAGCAUCUAAGUGGGAAGCCCACCUCAAGAUGAGUAUUCUGGUGUAAGGUCACGGGAAGACGACCCGUAAAUAGGCACGAGGUGGAAGUGCAGAGAUGUAUGAAGCCGAAGUGUACUAAUAGACCGUCGGCUUGACC